GCCCGGGAUCGCCACCAGUCAGCGCGUUGCGCCCACUGGUGCUGUUUUG
rnacentral:sRNA from 1 species